rnacentral:rRNA from 1 species
CACGUAGGGUGCGAGCGUUGUCCGGAAUUAUUGGGCGUAAAGAGCUCGUAGGCGGUGUGUCGCGUCGGCCGUGAAAACCUGCAGCUUAACUGUGGGCGUGCGGGCGAUACGGGCAGACUGGAGUACUGCAGGGGAGACUGGAAUUCCUGGUGUAGCGGUGGAAUGCGCAGAUAUCAGGAGGAACACCGGUGGCGAAGGCGGAUCUCUGGGCAGUAACUGACGCUGAGGAGCGAAAGCGUGGGGAGCGAACAGG